GUGGCCGUGGCUUGCGGUACGAGCAAGCACACCAGUCGCAUUGUGGGCGGCGAGGCGACGAAGCGGUCCGCCUACCCCUGGCUGGUCGGGCUCGUCUGGUCGUACAGAUAUGCGUCGAGGAAGCCAUUUUGUGGCGGCAGCAUCAUCAACGAGCGGUUCAUCUUAACGGCAGCACACUGCACCGCACGGAGGUCCGCGCGCGGCACCAGCGUCCUGGUAAGGAAGCACAGCUCAGUGAAUGAUGACAUGGAGAUCAAGAUGGACUUG